GGACCCGCACAAGUAGUGGAGCAUGUGGUUUAAUUCGAAGAUACGCGCAGAACCUUACCAACACUUGACAUGUUCGUCGCGACUUUAAGAGAUUAAAGUUUUCGGUUCGGCCGGACGAAACACAGGUGCUGCAUGGCUGUCGUCAGCUCGUGUCGUGAGAUGUUGGUUAAGUCCCGCAACGAGCGCAACCCUCACUUUUAGUUGCCAUCAUUUAGUUGGGCACUCUGAAAGAACUGCCAGUGAUAAGCUGGAGGAAGGUGGGGAUGACGUCAAGUCCUCAUGGCCCUUACGUGUUGGGCUACACACGUGCUACAAUGGUAUCUACAACAGGAAGCAAAACAGCGAUGUUAAG
rnacentral:rRNA from 1 species